GAUGAAGAACGCAGCGAAAUGCGAUAAGUAAUGUGAAUUGCAGAAUUCAGUGAAUCAUCGAAUCUUUGAACGCACAUUGCGCCCGCCAGUAUUCUGGCGGGCAUGCCUGUCCGAGCGUCAUUUCAACCCUCGCGCCCAUCCGGGCUGCGGUGUUGGGGACCGGCACAACCCCCCCACGGGGGGGCGCCGCCCCCCAAAUCCAGUGGCGGCCCCGCCGCUGCCUCCCCUGCGUAGUAGCACACCUCGCACCGGAGCGCGGCUCGGCCACGCCGUAAAACCCCCCGACCACGGAGCCCCGGCUCCUGAACGUUGACCUCGGAUCAGGUAGGAAUACCCGCUGAACUUAAGCAUAUCAAUAAGCGGAGGA
rnacentral:misc_RNA from 1 species